rnacentral:rRNA from 1 species
GACGAAGGAUGCAAGCGUUAUCCGGAUUCAUUGGGUUUAAAGGGUGCGUAGGCGGACUGAUAAGUCAGUGGUGAAAUCUCUUUGCUUAACAAAGAAACUGCCAUUGAUACUGUCGGUCUAGAGUAUAGAUGACGUUGGCGGAAUAUGACAUGUAGUGGUGAAAUACUUAGAUAUGUCAUAGAACGCCGAUUGCGAAGGCAGCUAACGAAACUAUAACUGACGCUGAGGCACGAAAGUGCGGGGAUCAAACAGG